rnacentral:rRNA from 1 species
AACGAACGCUGGCGGCAGGCUUAACACAUGCAAGUCGAACGAGAUCUUCGGAUCUAGUGGCAGACGGGUGAGGAACACGUGGGAACAUCCCUUUCAGUUCGGAAUAACGUUGGGAAACUAACGCUAAUACCGGAUACGUCCUUCGGGAGAAAGAUUUAUCGCUGAAAGAUUGGCCCGCGUCUGAUUAGCUAGUUGGUGAGGUAAUGGCUCACCAAGGCUACGAUCAGUAGGUGAUCUGAGAGGAUGAUCAGCCACAUUGGGACUGAGACACGGCCCAAACUCCUACGGGAGGCAGCAGUGGGGAAUAUUGGACAAUGGGCGCAAGCCUGAUCCAGCCAUGCCGCGUGAGUGAUGACGGCCUUCGGGUUGUAAAGCUCUUUUAUCCGGGAAGAUAAUGACUGUACCGGAAGAAUAAGCCCCGGCAAACUUCGUGCCAGCCGCCGCGGUAA